AGAGUUUGAUCAUGGCUCAGAUUGAACGCUGGCGGCAGGCCUAACACAUGCAAGUCGAACGGUAACAGGAAGCAGCUUGCUGCUUCGCUGACGAGUGGCGGACGGGUGAGUAAUGUCUGGGAAACUGCCUGAUGGAGGGGGAUAACUACUGGAAACGGUGGCUAAUACCGCAUAACGUCGCAAGACCAAAGAGGGGGACCUUCGGGCCUCUUGCCAUCAGAUGUGCCCAGAUGGGAUUAGCUUGUUGGUGAGGUAACGGCUCACCAAGGCGACGAUCCCUAGCUGGUCUGAGAGGAUGACCAGCCACACUGGAACUGAGACACGGUCCAGACUCCUACGGGAGGCAGCAGUGGGGAAUAUUGCACAAUGGGCGCAAGCCUGAUGCAGCCAUGCCGCGUGUAUGAAGAAGGCCUUCGGGUUGUAAAGUACUUUCAGCGGGGAGGAAGGUGUUGUGGUUAAUAACCACAGCAAUUGACGUUACCCGCAGAAGAAGCACCGGCUAACUCCGUGCCAGCAGCCGCGGUAAUACGGAGGGUGCAAGCGUUAAUCGGAAUUACUGGGCGUAAAGCGCACGCAGGCGGUCUGUCAAGUCGGAUGUGAAAUCCCCGGGCUCAACCUGGGAACUGCAUUCGAAACUGGCAGGCUUGAGUCUUGUAGAGGGGGGUAGAAUUCCAGGUGUAGCGGUGAAAUGCGUAGAGAUCUGGAGGAAUACCGGUGGCGAAGGCGGCCCCCUGGACAAAGACUGACGCUCAGGUGCGAAAGCGUGGGGAGCAAACAGGAUUAGAUACCCUGGUAGUCCACGCCGUAAACGAUGUCUACUUGGAGGUUGUGCCCUUGAGGCGUGGCUUCCGGAGCUAACGCGUUAAGUAGACCGCCUGGGGAGUACGGCCGCAAGGUUAAAACUCAAAUGAAUUGACGGGGGCCCGCACAAGCGGUGGAGCAUGUGGUUUAAUUCGAUGCAACGCGAAGAACCUUACCUGGUCUUGACAUCCACGGAAGUUUUCAGAGAUGGACUGGUGCCUUCGGGAACUGUGAGACAGGUGCUGCAUGGCUGUCGUCAGCUCGUGUUGUGAAAUGUUGGGUUAAGUCCCGCAACGAGCGCAACCCUUAUCCUUUGUUGCCAGCGGUUCGGCCGGGAACUCAAAGGAGACUGCCAGUGAUAAACUGGAGGAAGGUGGGGAUGACGUCAAGUCAUCAUGGCCCUUACGACCAGGGCUACACACGUGCUACAAUGGCGCAUACAAAGAGAAGCGACCUCGCGAGAGCAAGCGGACCUCAUAAAGUGCGUCGUAGUCCGGAUUGGAGUCUGCAACUCGACUCCAUGAAGUCGGAAUCGCUAGUAAUCGUGGAUCAGAAUGCCACGGUGAAUACGUUCCCGGGCCUUGUACACACCGCCCGUCACACCAUGGGAGUGGGUUGCAAAAGAAGUAGGUAGCUUAACCUUCGGGAGGGCGCUUACCACUUUGUGAUUCAUGACUGGGGUGAAGUCGUAACAAGGUAACCGUAGGGGAACCUGCGGUUGGAUCACCU
rnacentral:rRNA from 1 species